UCGGCAAGUCCAACCUGCUCUCCCGCUUCACCCGCAACGAGUUCAGCCUCGAGUCCAAGUCCACCAUCAGGGGGGUCGAGUUCGCCACCCGCUCCCUCUAGGUCGACGACAAGGUCGUCAAGGCCCAGAUUUGGGACAUCGCCGGUCUUCCUAUCCCCGUCUGUUCGGCAGCAGUUGUGGAGACCAUGGAUGGGAACUAUCGCAGAAGCACCAUUUUGCCUUUUUCUAUUAGAUGCCUUUGGAUUGUUUGGCAUCAGACCUUGUUCAAGGAGAUUUGCUUUUGGUAGAUGCAGAGUAUAGAUUAAGUAUUCAAUAAAAUUCACCACAUGAGUAUACUACUUAAUAGCCAAUUUUCGUGGUCAAAUUCAGCCCUGGAUGCAAAUGGACAUCAUGAUUCUGUUAUGCGCCGAGGUCUGUGGUCAAAUUCUCGAUUGGUGUGGAACACCAUGGACAGGGCAAAAUCAGUGUGCUUUGAAAUGUAGGGCGAAUCUUGUGGAGGAGUAGGGCAAAUCAGACAUUGUCUCGCUUGUGCCGCUGUGAUAACAUGCUGAAUGUUGGUCAUGCGACUGUGUAUGAAUCUUCUGUACAUGUAUAUUAUCAGGCAUUGUUUAAUGCUGCUGAGGGUGUAACAGAGGUGAUGUUUGUACUACUGUUGAAACAAAUAGCCGAGGAAGUCACAAUGUUCUUCUGUUAAGCCAUUGUCUCAUGUACUUACAAAUUUCUGGUUGACGUGUAGUGUUUCAACCAACUGUAGAAAAAUCAGUUUGAUGUAUGGAUGCUUCAUGCGGUGGUAGCUAAUGAUCUCUGUACUGAUGACAGUUUUGUGAUCAGGAUCUAAUGUCGUCGAGGUGGCUGCUGCUCUUACCGAAGAUCAGAAGAAGCCUGGAUAUGUGCACCAAGUUUUAGUUGAUGUUGCCACCAAGUUUUGGUGCAUGUGUAUUUGUUUUUUGAUUGUAUGUACACUUGUUGGAUCGUGCAAUAUGUGCUAUUGUACAUGUGGUAUUGUGAGUUUCAUUGAUCGAUUUUUGGAUUUGAUCAUUUAAUUGAAAGAAUGUUUUGAUUGUU